rnacentral:tRNA from 1 species
CAGAGAAUAGUUUAAGUAGAAUCUUAGCUUUGGGAGUUAAGGAUAGGGGUUAGAUUCCCCUUUUUCUGA